rnacentral:rRNA from 1 species
AGAAUCAACGCUGGCGGCGUGCCUAACACAUGCAAGUCGAACGAGAAAGGGUAGCAAUACCUGAGUAAAGUGGCGCACGGGUGAGUAACACGUGACUAACCUACCUUUGAGUGGGGGAUAACCUAGGGAAACCUGGGCUAAUACCGCAUAAUACCUAUGGGUCAAGGCGAGCAAUCGCGCUUAAAGAGGGGGUCGCGGCAGAUUAGUUAGUUGGUAGGGUAAUGGCCUACCAAGACGAUAAUCUGUAUCCGGCCUGAGAGGGCGCACGGACACACUGGAACUGAAACACGGUCCAGACUCCUACGGGAGGCAGCAGUGGGAAUUUUGCGCAAUGGGGGAAACCCUGACGCAGCAACGCCGCGUGGAGGAUGAAAUAUCUUGGUAUGUAAACUCCUUUCGAUGGGGACGAUAAUGACGGUACCCAUAGAAGAACGCCCCGGCUAACUUCGCGCCAGCAGCCGC